rnacentral:rRNA from 1 species
GACGAACGCUGGCGGCGUGCUUAACACAUGCAAGUCGAACGAUGAAGCCCAGCUUGCGGGGUGGAUUCGUGUGGAACGGGUGAGUAACACGUGAGUGACCUGCCCUUAACUCUUGGGUAUGCCUGGGAAACAGUGGCUAAUAUCGGAUAUGAGCGCCUACCGCGCGUGGGGGGUUGGGAAGAUUUAUCGGUUUUGGAUGGACUCGCGGCCUAUCAGCUUGUUGGUGGGGUAAUGGCUCACCAAGGCGCUGACGGGUAGCCGGCCUGAGAGGGUGACCGGCCACACUGGGACUGAGAUACGGCCCAGACUCCUACGGGAGGCAGCAGUGGGGAAUAUUGCACAAUGGGCGGAAGCCUGAUGCAGCGACGCCGCGUGCGGGAUGACGGCCUUCGGGUUGUAAACCGCUUUCAGUAGGGACGAAGCGAAAGUGACGGUACUUGGUGAAGAAGCACCGGCUAACUACGUG